UAAACAUAACACAAACCCAAGAGAAAAAACACUACAUGGGCUUAACAUAAAUGCCCAUGUCUGCCUCAACCCUAGGGUUUUCAUGGAGUAUAUAUAUUCCGAGUUACGCUUUCUGCUCUCUCUUCUUGCUACCGUCACCGGGAAAUAGCCAGAGUAAGGUUUUGAGAAAAAAAGAGUUCCUCCGCAAUGAGAGCCAAGUGGAAGAAGAAGCGUAUGAGGAGGUUGAAGAGGAAGAGACGAAAGAUGAGACAGCGAUCUAAGUAGACUCCUCUCUUGAAGACUUCGCUUUCCAGUUAUUUCAUUUCGCUAAGUACUUUUGUUUGGAUCUUGUUUAAGCUCUAAGUUUUCUUGUCUUCGUUUCUGUCGGAUUGUAUGGAUCCUCAAUUAACGUUAAAUCUUUUUAUCUUUCUAA